UACGUAGGGUGCAAGCGUUGUCCGGAAUUAUUGGGCGUAAAGAGCUCGUAGGCGGUUUGUCGCGUCUGCUGUGAAAACUCAGGGCUUAACCCUGAGCCUGCAGUGGGUACGGGCAGACUAGAGUGUGGUAGGGGAGAUCGGAAUUCCUGGUGUAGCGGUGGAAUGCGCAGAUAUCAGGAGGAACACCGGUGGCGAAGGCGGAUCUCUGGGACGGUACUGACGCUGAGACGCGAAAGCGUGGGGAGCGAACAGG
rnacentral:rRNA from 1 species